rnacentral:rRNA from 1 species
UACGUAGGGUGCAAGCGUUAAUCGGAAUUACUGGGCGUAAAGCGUGCGCAGGCGGUUCUAUAAGACAGAUGUGAAAUCCCCGGGCUCAACCUGGGAACUGCAUUUGUGACUGCAUCGCUGGAGUGCGGCAGAGGGGGAUGGAAUUCCGCGUGUAGCAGUGAAAUGCGUAGAUAUGCGGAGGAACACCGAUGGCGAAGGCAAUCCCCUGGGCCUGCACUGACGCUCAUGCACGAAGCGUGGGAGCAAACAGG